rnacentral:piRNA from 1 species
UAAAAAGUUAUACAGAAAACAGAGCAUGGU